ACCCUCUCAGGGUUGCACCUGGAGAGUUUCCAGUACUCUAUCAGUCUCGGCUGCGGGAGGGAGAAUCAAGAAGAGGCCCGUUCAUUUCAUUCCUAGCUUGGGCAGUGGCUAGCGAGUGGGAGACAAUCUGCUACAAGU
rfam:Ornithorhynchus anatinus chromosome 12, whole genome shotgun sequence.